UUUUUUUUUUUUUUUUUUUUUUUAAAUCCUUUUCAUGGUUUGGCACAAGCAUUUAAGAGUAAAACUCCUGAAGACAUUCACAAACAGCCUUCUGUUUCCAUUCAAGUUUUGUGGAGCAUCUGCUCUCCUCUUUUCAAGAGCAGCUGGGCCCUAAGCUUGUAAUCAUGUCCCAAGUAUAACAACUUGGGCAUCAGUGAUUACCUUCUGGGGCAAAGAAGUAACUGUGAAAUUAUAUUCACUGUGCUUGUUCAGCAGUUAUUACACCAUGAUCGUUCCACAAACUCCAUGUCUCUUCUCAGCUGAUCAAAAUUCAUGGCAGUUUAAGGCAAUUUUGACUUAACGCCAAAAAAAUUAAGGAAACCUGAUGCUGUUUGAUACCUUUAUUUUAUAGGCUCUUUGGAUUCUUAGAAAUCUAUUCAGAAUCUCUUCAAGUAUGUUUUAUUUCCUGUUCUGAGGUAACCUUCAAACACUGAUCCCAAAUGUAAUGAUCAUUCGAGGAUGGAGCAGACAAGCAAUCUGCAUAUAUCACUUGACCAUGAAAGUUUUGGUUAACCUCAGUGUACUUCCUACUGCUAACAUUUUGUUUGAAAAUGUAUUUUUGUCACCAGUUUCUGAAGCCCAAGAACAACUUAAUAGUCGCUGUAAGUUGCAUCAGGAGAGGUUCUGGUUGGAUAUUAGGAAAAAAGAAUCCUCAGAAGGAGUGGUAAGGUACUGGCACAGGCUGCCCAGGGAAGUGGUGGAGUCACCAUACCUGGAGGUGUUCAGUAAACAAGGAGAUGUGGCAUUGAGUAACAUGGUUUAGUGGUAUGGUGGUGGUAGGUUGAUGGUUGGAUUAGAUGAUCUUAAUGGUCUUUCUAACCUUAAUAAUUCUGUGUGAUUUUGUGAAUUUAACAGUUAAGAUCAUAACCCUUCUGGAUGGAGAGAGAAGAAUACUGGAUGUGGCUGUGUUAUCUUGAACGAGACUGAUGUCUCCACUGAUAGUAGUUAGCUGUGAAAUGAAAGCUGGACAUCAUGCAGUCCAGAGGUAGGUUGAAGUAAGGUAGAAAAGCUGCACAAAACCUAAAGGUAGUAUAAAGCUGCAGAAAAUGGCUUGAUGGGAAUGACUGAGACAUGAGGCAGAAACCAUUCUGUAAAUUGGAAAUUGUGAGUCAUUAAUGAUGCAUAUUGUUCACUUUACAAACUAAAUUAAUUGUGUUAAAAGUUCAUGCUUGUGAGUCAAGUAAUUUUUCAGAGUGUGCAUCAUAUUUAGAACCAUUAAGGAAAUUCUAUGGAUGGAAAGUGAGCUGUUAUUUGAUGAUUAUGCCUUUUGCCUAAGAAACCUAAAUUAAAUUUUUAAAAUGUCAGGCAAAUUACCCAUGUGUGCAUUUCUGAAGCACAAAAACCUUUUAAGGAUGUUAUUUCUUCAUCUGGUAAGACCUGCUAUCCCUGAAAAUACACACAUGCCAUGGUACAGCAUCUGGCCUUUUAAGCAUUAAAAGCUCCUGGAACUUCUCAGAGGAUAAAGUCAUUAUGAGGUGUAUUUUAAAAUUAAUCCAAUAAAUUAAGCAAGAGCUUAUUCAAUUCAAUUUGCAUUUGCAUUUUUUUCUUGUCCAUAGCUAUGAGAGAAUAGUAUUGCUUUUGUUCUCUGUUCAUUAACUACUGCACUGCAAGUGGCAAAUAUAUUCUCUUAACAGUUUUAUUUCUUUCCAGCCAUUAUUUAUAUUGUAUACAUAUUUAUACAUAUUUACGUUAGGAAAAAGGAAAUAUAGUCUUUGAAAAUUUGAUUCUUUACUCAUGUAUGUACAUUUUUUGCAUGUAAAAAUAUAGUACAUGGCAGAUCUUAUUUGAGAGGAAAAUAUUUUGUUGUGUUCUUGUUUUGUAUACAUUUCAUUCUGUAGUCCUGGAUGUUUCAUUUCCUUUAGGUGAUAUCAUGAUUUCAGUUCAGAAUACAGAUUUUUACCUGAAAGUUGAGGAAAACUUUCUCUAAGUUCAUCAUCUAUAUGCUGGAUAGGGCCCUGGGCAGCCUGGUCUAGUGGAACUGGGUGAUCUUUGAGGUCUCUUCUGACCCAAUCCAUUCUAUGAUUUCUGCUUAGACAGUGAAAUUAGCUGCCAGGAGAGGUUGUGAAAUUGCUUGCUUUGGAAGUAUUCAGAAAGAAACUCAGCAUUAAACUGGGAAAGUUUACAGGACAUGAAAUCAAUUAUGGGUCACUGAAAACUUUCACCAAAAUACAGCACUUAGUUCACCUCUGCUGGUGCUUCUUUAAUAUCCCCAAGUCAUGGUCUCCAUGGAAAUACUUUCAUAUAUAUAUAUAUAUGGGGAGUACUGCCUUUUAUGACUUCAAACCUUCUUCUAUUCUAAUUUAAUUCCCAGCAUCCCAGUGCUUGCCUGUUUCUCCCUGGCCCUAUGAGCGGGAGACAGAAUGUAGGUUUUAUAAGCUACAGGAGUAAAAUCAAAUUUCCAU
ensembl:lncRNA